rnacentral:lncRNA from 1 species
CCCCUCUGCUUCCUUUUUCCCACUUCCUUUUUUGGGUCCUCCCUGUUUCUUCACGAGUUUUGCAUCUUCCCACUUUACUGUAAUAUCACUAAUUAUGGCUCUUUGGGCCAGCGCUGUUGUAGGUGCCAACUUGUCUAUAUCACUCCUAUGUUCUUUUAUUCUCUUAGGCUACACAGCAAGGUCUCAUUCUCAUUCAGGUCUGUUCUCAUUCAAAUCAUUAUCCAUUACUGGUAUCUUGUAUACCCCUGGAAAACUGUUAUGGUUGUAUUUAUCUUUAUCAUUUCUCAUUGCAUUAAAUAGUGUAUUUCUCCUACUGAAAGCAAUCCUCUGGCCAGUGACCCUCUCAAUUUUCUUCCUAAAUUCAUAGUGACCAUAGUAACAUGAGGUUUUUAAAAAUUGAUGUUCGGUAAAUUUUGUUCUAUGUUUUUGAAGCUGAUGAUUUGUGAAUAAAAAUCAAAAGCACUGCUGCUUAUAAAAGCU